UACGUAGGGGGCAAGCGUUGUCCGGAUUUAUUGGGCGUAAAGAGCGUGUAGGCGGCUGGGUAGGUCCGUUGUGAAAACUCGAGGCUCAACCUCGAGACGCCGAUGGAAACCCUCCAGCUAGAGUCCGGGAGAGGAGAGUGGAAUUCCCGGUGUAGCGGUGAAAUGCGCAGAUAUCGGGAAGAACACCCGUGGCGAAGGCGGCUCUCUGGAACGCAACUGACGCUGAGACGCGAAAGCGUGGGGAGCAAACAGGG
rnacentral:rRNA from 1 species